rnacentral:rRNA from 1 species
AGCGAACGCUGGCGGCAGGCCUAACACAUGCAAGUCGAGCGCCCCGCAAGGGGAGCGGCAGACGGGAGAGUAACACGUGGGAACGUACCCUUCAGUUCGGAACAACCCAGGGAAACUUGGGCUAAUACCGGAUACGUCCGAAAGGAGAAAGAUUUAUCGCUGAGGGAUCGGCCCGCGUCUGAUUAGCUAGUUGGUGAGGUAACGGCUCACCAAGGCGACGAUCAGUAGCUGGUCUGAGAGGAUGAUCAGCCUCACUGGGACUGAGACACGGCCCAGACUCCUACGGGAGGCAGCAGUGGGGAAUAUUGGACAAUGGGCGCAAGCCUGAUCCAGCCAUGCCGCGUGGGUGAUGAAGGCACUAGGGUUGUAAAGCCCUUUCGGCGGGGAAGAUAAUGACGGUACCCGCAGAAGAAGCCCCGGCUAACUUCGUGCCAGCCGCCGCGGUAAAAC